GGUCAGCGGCUAUUCCGUCCGCCUGAAAAGCGGAAGGUCGCCGGUUCGAUCCCGGCCCUGGCCA
rnacentral:tRNA from 1 species